rnacentral:rRNA from 1 species
UACGAAGGGGGCUAGCGUUGCUCGGAAUCACUGGGCGUAAAGCGCACGUAGGCGGCUUUUUAAGUCAGAGGUGAAAUCCUGGAGCUCAACUCCAGAACUGCCUUUGAUACUGAGAGGCUUGAGUCCGGGAGAGGUGAGUGGAACUGCGAGUGUAGAGGUGAAAUUCGUAGAUAUUCGCAAGAACACCAGUGGCGAAGGCGGCUCACUGGCCCGGUACUGACGCUGAGGCGCGAAAGCUAGGGGAGCAAACAGG